rnacentral:rRNA from 1 species
GACGAACGCUGGCGGCGUGCUUAACACAUGCAAGUCGAACGGAAAGGCCCUGCUUUUGUGGGGUGCUCGAGUGGCGAACGGGUGAGUAACACGUGAGUAACCUGCCCUUGACUUUGGGAUAACUUCAGGAAACUGGGGCUAAUACCGGAUAGGAGCUCCUGCUGCAUGGUGGGGGUUGGAAAGUUUCGGCGGUUGGGGAUGGACUCGCGGCUUAUCAGCUUGUUGGUGGGGUAGUGGCUUACCAAGGCUUUGACGGGUAGCCGGCCUGAGAGGGUGACCGGCCACAUUGGGACUGAGAUACGGCCCAGACUCCUACGGAGGCAGCAGUGGGGAAUAUUGCACAAUGGGCGGAAGCCUAAUGCAGCAACGCCGCGUGCGGGAUGACGGCCUUCGGGUUGUAAACCGCUUUCGCCUGUGACGAAGCGUGAGUGACGGUAAUGGGUAAAGAAGCACCGGCUAACUACGUG